CCAGCACUGUGGCAAGGAUCAUGAGGACUAACCCUGCUAUCUUCUCAAUAAUACUUAUCGCAUAUGUAGGAGUACCCAACAUUACGCAAGAGAAUGCACGCAGAAUCAAAACAAGACCAGACCUCCUGCUUAGGAUAGAGCUUACAACCUAACUCAGUAGGAUGCUGAAGGCAACUCCGAUGUGAUAUAGGAAACGUACAUUAUCUAUAAUUACUUUGUAUAUAUUUUGAUUGAUACUAGUGCUUCCAAUUUAUUUGUCUCACACACUUUUAUACAAAGCUUAAAUGUAUGACCAGAAAGACUUGAUUUUAUGUUAUUUGU
rnacentral:lncRNA from 1 species